GACGAAGGAUGCAAGCGUUAUCCGGAUUCAUUGGGUUUAAAGGGUGCGUAGGCGGCCAGAUAAGUCAGUGGUGAAGUCCUGUUGCUUAACAACAGAACUGCCAUUGAUACUGUUUGGCUUGAGUAUAGUUGCUGUGGGCGGAAUAUGACAUGUAGUGGUGAAAUACAUAGAGAUGUCAUAGAACACCGAUUGCGAAGGCAGCUCACAAAACUAUAACUGACGCUGAGGCACGAAAGUGCGGGGAUCAAACAGG
rnacentral:rRNA from 1 species